rnacentral:rRNA from 1 species
UACGUAGGGUGCAAGCGUUAAUCGGAAUUACUGGGCGUAAAGCGUGCGCAGGCGGCUUUGCAAGACAGAUGUGAAAUCCCCGGGCUUAACCUGGGAACUGCAUUUGUGACUGCAUGGCUGGAGUGCGGCAGAGGGGGAUGGAAUUCCGCGUGUAGCAGUGAAAUGCGUAGAUAUGCGGAGGAACACCGAUGGCGAAGGCAGCCCCCUGGGUCAAGAUUGACGCUCAUGCACGAAAGCGUGGGGAGCAAACAGG